rnacentral:rRNA from 1 species
GAUGAACGCUGGCGGCGUGCCUAAUACAUGCAAGUCGAGCGAACAGACGAGGAGCUUGCUCCUCUGACGUUAGCGGCGGACGGGUGAGUAACACGUGGAUAACCUACCUAUAAGACUGGGAUAACUUCGGGAAACCGGAGCUAAUACCGGAUAAUAUAUUGAACCGCAUGGUUCAAUAGUGAAAGACGGUUUUGCUGUCACUUAUAGAUGGAUCCGCGCCGCAUUAGCUAGUUGGUAAGGUAACGGCUUACCAAGGCAACGAUGCGCAGCCGACCUGAGAGGGUGAUCGGCCACACUGGAACUGAGACACGGUCCAGACUCCUACGGGAGGCAGCAGUAGGGAAUCUUCCGCAAUGGGCGAAAGCCUGACGGAGCAACGCCGCGUGAGUGAUGAAGGUCUUCGGAUCGUAAAACUCUGUUAUUAGGUAAGAACAAAUGUGUAAGUAACUAUGCACGUCUUGACGGUACCUAAUCAGAAAGCCACGGCUAACUACGUG